CCUACGGAGGCAGCAGUGGGGAAUAUUGGACAAUGGGCGCAAGCCUGAUCCAGCCAUGCCGCGUGAGUGAUGAAGGCCUUAGGGUUGUAAAGCUCUUUUAUCCGGGACGAUAAUGACGGUACCGGAGGAAUAAGCCCCGGCUAACUUCGUGCCAGCAGCCGCGGUAAUACGAAGGGGGCUAGCGUUGCUCGGAAUCACUGGGCGUAAAGGGCGCGUAGGCGGCGUUUUAAGUCGGGGGUGAAAGCCUGUGGCUCAACCACAGAAUGGCCUUCGAUACUGGGACGCUUGAGUAUGGUAGAGGUUGGUGGGAACUGCGAGUGUAGAGGUGAAAUUCGUAGAUAUUCGCAAGAACACCGGUGGCGAAGGCGGCCAACUGGACCAUUACUGACGCUGAGGCGCGAAAGCGUGGGGAGGCAAACAGGAUUAGAUACCCUGGUAGUCCACGCCGUAAACCGAUGAAUGCCAGCUGUUGGGGUGGCUUGCNCNCAUAGCGCANCUACGACUUGUAGNAUCCGUCCGUCGGGGUACGGGGUCGGCGAGAAUAAACUAACAAAGAAGUAGAGGCGNGAGAGAGCGACGGACGACGACGAGGGAGGAGG
rnacentral:rRNA from 1 species